rnacentral:rRNA from 1 species
GCAGGCGGUUUGAUAAGUCUGAUGUGAAAGCCCUCGGCUUAACCGAGGAACUGCAUCGGAAACUGUUUUUCUUGAGUGCAGAAGAGGAGAGUGGAACUCCAUGUGUAGCGGUGGAAUGCGUAGAUAUAUGGAAGAACACCAGUGGCGAAGGCGGCUCUCUGGUCUGCAACUGACGCUGAGGCUCGAAAGCAUGGGUAGCGAACAGGAUUAGAUACCCUGGUAGUCCAUGCCGUAAACGAUGAGUGCUAAGUGUUGGGAGGUUUCCGCCUCUCAGUGCUGCAGCUAACGCAUUAAGCACUCCGCCUGGGGAGUACGACCGCAAGGUUGAAACUCAAAGGAAUUGACGGGGGCCCGCACAAGCGGUGGAGCAUGUGGUUUAAUUCGAAGCAACGCGAAGAACCUUACCAGGUCUUGACAUCCCAGUGACCGCUCUAGAGAUAGAGUUUUUCUUCGGAACACUGGUGACAGGUGGUGCAUGGUUGUCGUCAGCUCGUGUCGUGAGAUGUUGGGUUAAGUCCCGCAACGAGCGCAACCCUUAUUGUUAGUUGCCAUCAUUCAGUUGGGCACUCUAGCGAGACUGCCGGUAAUAAACCGGAGGAAGGUGGGGAUGACGUCAAAUCAUCAUGCCCCUUAUGACCUGGGCUACACACGUGCUACAAUGGUUGGUACAACGAGUCGCAAGUCGGUGACGGCAAGCAAAUCUCUUAAAGCCAAUCUCAGUUCGGAUUGUAGGCUGCAACUCGCCUACAUGAAGUCGGAAU